UAAAGAAAGAUAGGCCUAAUCAAUCAUAUUCAAAGUAUGCGAAAAGACCACAGAAGGUAGGACCAUGGUAACAUCAUGUUUUAUUACCAUGGUUUACCAUUGUGAGACACAGAAAUAACCCUCUACAACCAUGGUAUACCAUGAUAAUCAAAUGAAACCCAUUGCUAAACCAUGCUUUGACCAUGGUCUGAUUAUGAUAUUUUUUAUUACAUUCUAUUUCCGACCAUUUCCCGCAAUUUCUAAUUCUUAAAAACGCUUAUAUGGAAUACAAUAGGUCAGUGACCUAUAAACAUGACUUCUCAUCUUUUGACGAGAGGUCUUUUAUUUCUGACUUUAAUAAAUUAGAGUUUAGCUAUAUAUUGAUAAUGAUACCGAUAUUAAUGGAAACUAUAAUAAAUUCUCUCAAGACAUUGAUAUGCUUGUUGAAAAGUGCACAAAAACAUGUACCAGUUAAAAAGUGCACAAAAAAUAAUCAAAAAUAAAAGCAAAACGCUGGAUCAACAGCAGAAUACAAAAAAUGAUGCGAAUUCAUGAUCCUAUGUUUAGACAAAUGAAAAGAAAUAGAUCGGAUCUUCAACUCUACAGAAAAUUCAGAAAUCAAGUAACAAAUGAGAUAAAGAAAAGCAAGCUAAACUAUCUCCACGCCUAUUUCUCUACGAAAUGUCAAAAUAUGAGAAAACUGUGGGUAAGCAUAAAAAUCGAUUAUCUCUUUAAGAAAGGCUCCAUAUCCUUUCAAGUAUUUGUAAAAUCAAGGAUAAAGAAGAAAUAAUUUCAGACACAACUAAAAUUUCUAAUAUCUUUAACAAGUACUUUGUCAUUGUUGCUGAGAAUAUUACCAAAACUUUACCAAAAAGAUCUGAGUCACCUAUUGAAUAUCUUGAAAAUAAAAAACUUAAACUCAAUCUUUCUCUCUCCAGUCGAUCACAUAGAAGUUGAGAAUGAAAUUUCUAGAUUUGACUCAUCAAAGUCUUCUGGGCCACUCAGUAUCCCAAUCAAUCUAUUGAAAAUUCUAGGACCCUAUAUUUCGAAUUCCUUAGCUUGUGUAUGUGUAUCACUUAGAUUGGCUAAUUCCAUUCAAUUAUCUCUUUUGUUUAAUACAAAGCAUGGAAUCGAGGGUGAAUUUUUAUGGCAAUAAAAACUAAUUUAAAAGAAAUGAAUAGUCACAAAACAAUGGAAUUCCACUUCAAAGUCUUUUGUUUUAUUAGCCAACUGCUAAUGCGAAAUAUGCCCUUUAAAAGUAGCAAAAAUAAUUCCUGUUUUUAAAAAGGGGGACACCAAAACUAAGUCAAACUAUAGGCCUAUAUCGAUGUUGCCAGUCUUCAGCUUAUAUGAAAAAUUAAUGUACAAACAACUCUAUUCGUUUAUUACUCAUAACAAAGUAAUCUACCCUUUACAAUUUGGUUUUCAGGAAAAUCAUUCAAUUUACCAUGCUUUGAUUAGUAUGACUGAAGCAAUAAGAAACAAACUUGGAUGUGGAUGUGGAAUAUUCAUUGACCUUCAAAAAGCCUUUGAUACUGUUAAGCACGAUAUUUUGAUUAACAAAUUUGAACAUUAUGGUAUCAGAGGAGAGGCCCUGGCUUGGUUUCGGUCCUACCUUUCAGAAAGACAUCAAUUUGUUUCAGUCAAUGACGUAAAUUCUGAAUUACUAAAAAUCAGAUCCGACAUCCUAAUUAAAAUUGGUGAACAACAUAUCACCAGGGUAAAUCAUGUAAGAUUUUUGGAACUUCUUCUGGAUUCUUUAAUAUGCAUCUACAAUUCUCUAUUUAUGUCAUUUCUCCAGUACAGUAUCAUUGUUUGGGGUCAAACAUUUGCCUUAUACAAACAUUUGCCUCAUACCCUAUUUUCAAACUGCAAAAAAGAGCUGUUAGAGCAAUUUCACUUGAAAAGGCCUUUUCCCAUUCAACACUGAUCUUUAAACAUCUUAAGCUACUCAGACUUAAUGACAUAUUUAAACUCCGGUUAUUAACAUUUGUUUUUGAAUCAAUAAACAAACUAACACCAAGUUGCUUUAACCAUUUCUUCCCACUAAAUAUUUCAGUCCAUCACUAUAAACAAGGCAGUCUUUCCGAGGAGAUAUCUAUCUAGAUAAAAAAAUAUGCUUCAAUUUGGCUUAAAGUCCAUUCGAUAUAUUGGAGCGAAACUCUGGAACGACCUAUCAGCUGACAUUUGAUACUCCACCUCAAGAUUUUUAUUCAAAAAGAAUCUAAAACAUCACUUGCUCAAUGCUAUGUGAAUGCCUAAAUGAAAUUUUUAUUCGAUACGUUUAAUCGCCUUUGUGUUUAUGGUUCUUAUAGGUGCAGAUGGGGGCUCUCAUCUCGUUAGUUUACCUACUUUGAGAGCUCCUCCUUAAGAAUUCUACUACACCUAAUUGCAUUGUGUUGUUGUUCUAUUUUUAUUUAAAUGUUUUAUUUGUAUAAUUAUUUUUAUUUGUUAGUAUUUUGCUUUUCAAUAAUUAUUGUAGUAGAAUUUGAAUAAUAAAUAAAUCAAAUCAAAUCGUAAUUCCUCAGCAUUAGAAGAAGUUUUUUGAAUAAUCACUUUGUUUCAGCAUUUUCUGGGACGUUAUCUUUUAUGUGCUAAAGAAUUUAAGAAACCCUGAUGUUGUGUUAGCAAGCUUUUUUGGCUAUUUUGAUAUUUCAAGUCAUAUAUAACUGCUGUUCCUUGUAAUUUUUCUUUAUAGUUAAGCCUUGUUCUUUCUAAAGGUUUUUUGGUUAUCCAAGAAAUCUUGUCACAUUUUAUUUAUUUAGUUACUUUCUGUCUUUCUUUCCUCAAAAACAUUGUUUUACAUCAGUAUAUGGAACUGUCAAGAUUUGUAGAUGCAAAGCUGAUUAAAAUAUUAUAAAAAUAAUGUGACACAGAAGCUUAAUAGCUUGUGAACUGAAAUGAAAGAGAAUUAAUAAAAUGAGAAGUUGUACAUAAUAUUUUUCAACUUAAACAAAGUAUGUGUAUAUAUUUGAUGUGUAUUCUUCUUUUUGCAGGCAGUGCUUCAGCUUCGAAGAUCAGAAAAAUUAGUUGGAAAUUUGUUUUUAAAGCAGCACUGUUGAUGUCUUAACAAUGGUUUGUUCACUUUCUCAAUAAUUUUAUACCUACAUAUGAACUAUUUCCAACAACACAUAAGCAAAAAAGGUGAACCAUUCUAUAGAACGUCAAUUAAUAGUAUUUGCCUCACACUUAGAAAAAUCCCAUCUUUGGCCGUUCUUUGUUAUCUAUGCUUACUGAAAGUGGGUGUCUCUCUGUAGCAGCAAGAUGUCCUUCUAUCCACUGGUUUAGGUAACAAAUUGUGAUUGUGAUAAAGCUACAAAGUUACCAGAUGUCAAGCUCUACUGUCAUUGGGUAAGGCAAAACCACUCAUGGCCUAAAGGGCAAUGUGUUGGUAAACAGGGUUUCAGGAGCCCUAUGUGUAACAAAAGUUGGAAUUUUUGGGGCAUGUUAUGAGGAAAGAAAGUUUGGAGAUAUUAACCCUCACAGGAAGAAUUGAAGGGAAGAAAAGCAGAGACCUUGGAAAGUGAUUUAUAGAGCCCUGCCCUUUAGGCCAUGAGUGGUUUUGCCUUACCCAAUGACAGUAGAGCUUGACAUCUGGUAACUUUGUAGCUUUAUCACAAUCACAAUUUGUUACCUAAACCAGUGGAUAGAAGGACAUCUUGCUGCUACACGAAGCAAAAUAAACUUUUGACAUUUGUUGAAUUAACUUGAUCAAGCAUAAACAAUCUUCCCAACAGACCGCAAUAACAUGAUUUGCAUAAGAUAACCCCUUGAGAAAAAAUUCAUCAAAUUCAACGUUGUAUUUUUUAUACCAUUUUUAAUCCAUAGCAAGCAUUAAUAUUCUAUUGAAGUGUAAUUUCCUGUUUUUUCUUAAUAAUUUAAAAUCACCUGUGCAAAUCAGCAAUCACAUUUCUGUCCAAAUUAUCACAUUAAUUUUCAGUUUUCAUUUCUGUUGAGAGUAGUGGAUGUUCUAGGGUGUCUUAUAAAAUGGAUAGCAUUAAAGGAAACAAAGUUAAAUGUCCAACUUAAACCCAUGCGUUUUGAUGAAGCAAUAUUUGAAUCUGAACAUAACAGUAGUGAUACUGACAGUGAUAAAAUCUCAUCAAGCGAUGGCAACUUACAUAUCUAGAAAAAUCUGAACAAUUUAGAGGUGCAAAAUAAAGGGCCUAGAGUUUCUAAGGGGCUUUUUUUAUGGAGCACCUUCAUUCUGCUUAGAGCAUUUUGCUAAUCAUUGUUUUCAGUCUUGUUCUGAACAAAACUACCCACAUGAGUACAUCUCGUGUUUAUCUUCCCUAUUAUGGUUUUAGUUAUUGAUUAAUGUUAGUCAAGGAUGAAUAUUAAGGAUUUUAUAUGUUGAAAGCAAAGAACAAGAAGGUUAAAUUAGUGAUUAUUGUGUUUACUCUCCCAACUUGCAGUUUUCCACACUGAGCCCUUAUGUGAAAUUAUCUUUUGUCCAUUCACAACUUGAGUGAUUUGACUCACAGGCUCAAUAGUCAGUUAUGUUUUGACCAAAAAUAUAUUUUCCACAAACAAUUCAGUUAUGCCCAGUUAGAAAUCUAGCUACUUUGUUGUUUAUUUACCAAGGUGAUACAGUUAACACAAAAUGAGGGUUUCAAUUGGAUAGACAAAAAUUCUAGUCAAACUAGGAAAAGUCUACACUGACUCUGACCACACUGUGGCACAGCAUAACUGGGAUAUCUAAAAUAGUCCCUGUUAUGGAAAAUCAUUAGGUUGUUGUCUAAAUUUUAUGACUUUUAAAGCAUUGAUUUUUCAUUGUUGCCCUCUUCUUAUCACACUAUUGGUAUGCUCAUAUGCAAAUCAAAUUAUGAGCAUUACGUUAAAUGUAAUUAUGUCACAUAUCAUGUAUUAGAUAUGAUACUUCAAUGAUACUUAAAGAGAUUUUGAAUCAAGUCACCAUAUGCCUGUUAUAAGCAGAAAUUGUUCAGUUAGCUGAUAUCUGUAAUCAGAUGGACUUGAUUUACAUUUUAAAUAUACAUAUUUAUAUUUUUAGUUUAAUUAUGUAGAGCUAAGUUCUAACCUGAUUAGAAAGAAAAUAAUCUAAAGCUGUACUCACGAGAUGAAAGACAUUUUUCUCCCACAUUCAGCAUAUCUCAAAUGUCAAUGCAAAUUCUUUUACUUUUUUCUAUAAUGUCAUCAAAGAACUGCAACCAUCAGCUGCAUAUAGUUUGCACAGAAGGUUUUUUAGCAUUUUUAGAAUUUGUCUCUUUAGCUAAUUACCAUUAAAUUAAAGUGAUUCUGUGACCUAGAGAUGCAAAUGACUUUGAAUUCCUAGUGUUAAAAGAAAGAGGUUUUUAACAUAGUAUAUCUGUUCCAUAUUAUUUUUUGCAAGAAUAAGGAUUAUUGGUUAUUACAAUGCAUAGCUUUUUGAGCUUAAUUUAGCUGCUCCCUUUAACCAUAUAAUCCCCUUCAAAUCCAUCACCCUAAUCAAAAUAAUUGUCAAGUCAUUGAUCAAAUUGCAAGCAUAAAUCUCUAUUAAUAGACAAUGAGCAACAAUUUGAUGCCAGUGAUGAUGAAAUGCUUCAAGACUUUUCACUUCCAGAUGUAGAGGUAUUUCAACUUCCUGUUUGAGGCACACCAACAUACCAGUUCUUCAUAAUUUUUCAAUUUCUUAAGAAUUUGUGUGUAAAUAAAUUUUGAAUUCUUUGAUAUGAUUCAAAUUUUAUUGUGUGGGAUUACUGAAAUUUCUUAAGAUUUUUUUCAAGUUAUAACCUUGUAAAUAUGUGCAAAGUGUACUGUUUGUUCUCUCUACAAAUUGGCAAUGUUUAUUUCUUAAAUCCAGUAAGAUUGUGGAAUCAUACAGAUUUACAUGUUUCAUGCUCUAACAGCAAAGACUUUUGUGAUGCUGGAUGGAAAUGUGGACCUCUUAUUGCAAGACUUGAUAUAUCAAAGAAGAAACUUAAGGUAGACCAUCAAAAGGGUGACAAUGGGAAAUUGAACAUUGACCCUUGGCAGGAAAAUAAAUAUUUGUAGUUGACUCAGGUUUUAGAGCUAAGAAGUCAAUCUGUGUUCUUGUUAUAUUACAUUCAUUGUCUGAUAGUACAAAAUGUCUUUAAAUCGUUCUAGUACAGCUUGUAUGGCAAACAGAAUAUUGGGAAUUGUUAGGUAUGUAUAUCUGUUUGAAGCAGUAGGCUAAAAGACUUUUUUGUGCAAUAUAAAUAAAGUUUUUUGAAAAGAGAAUCAAUUUUUAAGGUAUAAUUCUGAGUUUUAUUGAUUUAAUUACUCUUGAUCAUAUUUAGUUGAGGAAGUUCUGCUUUGUAAAAAGAAGACACAUUUCUUUCUCUGAUGGUGUCUAUUGGGUAUAUGGUUGUAAUUGUGACCAGACAAAACAAGAAUUUGUUAAUGAGCUGUUCAGCACCACUGAGCAGAUUCAUGAAGGUAUAAUUUAUUAUUAAAACAUGUUUUUUGCUCUUACUCAAUGUCCUAUAGCCCCAUCUAGGGCAGUAAUGUUCUAAUAUAUCCUAAAUGUGUGUACCCCCUCACAGAAUUUAUUUUUAUUGAGUUUUGAAGGGGUUUUAAGGGAAAGUAAAUUAAGAAGCCAUGCCCCUAGAUGAGGAUUAGAUUUAUUUGCCACCCAAUGUUUACACAUAUGUUAAUAAAACACAUUAUACUAUAUUAGUUACAUUUGGGUCAUUUUCUUUAUUUUCUUAUUGUAAGUUGAUACAUGUAAGUUUAUUACUCAUAAAGGUUGACACCAAAAUAUAUGUGAUAUAUUCUUGAGUUUAUAUAUUUAUAUAAAGAUGUACACCUUUUCAUAUUUCAUAUUAAGAUUGGAAAGAAUUUCUAUUCCCAGUGUGUUAAUGAAAUUUUUUUAUAUUAUGUUUAGUCUCACAAAUAUAUUCUCUGCCACAUUAUUAUUGUUAUUUUGGUAUUUAUUAAAUCAGUCAAUGAUUUCUUGUAGAAUUUAAUCAACAUAUGACUCAGUAGUAUCCUGCUUGUAUUCAUACUGAGUUAUGUGUAAAAGUGCUGGAUCAAUGGGAUGGAGUUCACAACAUUUCUCCUUCACAAUUUGUUCAAUGUAACUAUUUGGUGUACUCGGAUUUACCUUAAUAUGCAUGUAUUCAUCAUCUGCCUAUGAAUUUUCAUGCACCUUUUGUGAAGCUGCAGCUCUAUCUUAGUGCCUAAAGUAUUUGUCCAAUAGGAAAAACAGUCAUUUUAAUAUACCUCAUGGUUUAUCUUUGGAGUUCUUGUGUUUAUCAUAAGGUCUUCAUUGAUUGACAAUAAGGUAUAUAAUGGACUUUCAGAUUUGACAGCUUAGAAAAGACCAAUCAAAGACAAAACUUAUCUAACUUGCAGAGGUCUAUUUAUCUAUGUCUGCAUUUGGAAGACCUAUCUUUAACAAUUUUAUUUAUUUUCUUCUUUAUAGUGGAAGACUCAGAGCACUGGUGUUGACAGUUUUGAGAUUUGAAACACAUUCUGCUUUGUAACUAGGAAGUGGCCUGGAUAUGUUAAGGAUAUCUUAAGUACAGAAGGUCUUUUUUGCUUAAUGGGAACAAUGACUUACAAGAAAAUAUAUAAAAACUUUUGUCUGAUUUUAAAUUGACAGUAAUGGUUAUUUGUGCAAAAUAUAAAUAUGAAAGCAAAAAAUUAAUUUCCAUCUUGAUUCGGAUUAUGUCAAGCAUUUUUGUUAGGCCUCUCUUAUUUUCUUCCAUGAACGUCCUUUGAUAGCUGAAUUGGUAUUCUCAAAGGAAAAAUUAGUAUCUGUAAAACCUCAUAGCAAGGAAAUUGGUGUUGUCGGUGUAGAUAGGAAGGGCUUUAUCUGCUUCUCUUGCACCUUUGGCUGUCACUCAUGUUCCCAUGUUGAAGCCAUCAACUCCCUAAUUGAUAACCAGUCUGAGGAAACCCCAGACUUCCUUCUUCAAAUGGUGCAAAGGCAUGAUGUUCUCAAGAAAACCUACCCGAAAACGUACACCAGGUGUUCUCUCUCGACAAGACGGAUUUCGUAUGGCCCUAUGGCCUCACAAGCCAGCAUAUUCAAUGGCAGAUUUAUUGUUGAUACAUCGACAUUGCAGGAAGACGAUAAGUUGUGCCCUGAUUUUGCGUAUAGUGUAUGCCCAUCCUGUGGUUAUGAUAUUAACGAGGCAACGAUUGAAUGGAGUGGAUCAUCUCACAGGCUUUUUACCACAAAAAUGAUACUGGCUGUGCAAGUGCCGUACAGAAGAUGCCAGAAUGCGCAGUGUGGUUUGAUUCAACCAUAUGAUGGUUGCGCAAAAGGAAUUUUGAACAUGGGCGAGUUUCUUGUUGGGCACGAUGUGCUGAGAGACUAUAUGCUUCAUUUUCUUCAUGGCCACAGCCAAAGCCUUGUCAGCUACCUGAAGAUAUGGAAACUCAACCUACGUGCCUCAAGAUUUGAUGUGUCACACUGUUUGACGUAUGACCAAUGGCGAAUGGCCUGGUACUCAUUUAUUCGGCUACUAGACGUUGAUUUCAUUUCCAGGUUUUCUUGUGUGGACAAUAUCCUCCAAUAAUCUUAUGCGAUGCAACAUCACUUGGCUAUCGGAGGAAAUAUUCUCGAGGCCUUCAAGAGCUACCAAACGAGGCCAACCCUGUAAUGCUGAAUGGAAGAUAAGUGAUAGAUAUCUUUUUUGUGCUUAAAGAUAAAUUUUUCGUACAUUAUAGUAUUGCUACCGUGAUGGGCUACUUCAGUUCCACAUCAAGAAUUUUACUUCUGAAAGUUAUUUCGUAGACUAUUGUAGUCAAUAUAUGAGCAAUUCUUUAUGAAAACUUCUGAUCUUUAUGAAAACGCGGGCCAGUUCUAUGCUUUACUCUGUCAGAUUCUGAAGCUUUCUCAUUUUAGUUAAUUCUAUUUGCUGGCGAUAAUAAGAAGAGUGCAAAAUUUAUUCUUUCACUUCUAAUUCAAGAUUUCUUUCUUUGGUUUGGUAUCAUUACUAGCUUCAGCCAACGAGUUUGUAUCAAGAAGAGGAAAACCAGGAUGCUACUAAGAAAACUUGUUUCAUCGAAAUAUUUGGAAUGCGUAGAAAGAUAUCACUAAAUACACUUAUAUGCCACGAACAUCCAAACAUUUUGCACGUGCUUGAAGCUUGUGAAGAGCUCUUUCAAGGCUGUGAGCAAUUUCCAAGGAGCUAUGUACCUUCUUCAGGUGCAUUUCAUCAAAUUCGCCGGUUUGUUCUUAUAUACCACCGACAGCUUCCUUCAAUCAUUUGGCAGCACGUUUAUCCUCUUGGCUGAUAAUAAGGAAAGACCCAGAAGCUCUAUCCGAGCUUCAGAUUUGUGCCCCCAUUGUUUAUGGAGUUAUAAAAUGUCUUCCUGCUGCUUCUUUGCCACAGCCGUGAAUCACGUUGCUUGAAGAGCUAAUUGUGAAGUCAAGGUAUGUCACAGAUUUCCAGCCUCAUGACACCUCAACAUUGAACAGUUUCUUGUCCAAAAAUUUGAGCUUCUUUCCUUCGUGGCCACAGCUAUCCGACCGUGGCUCCUACACAAUGGAUAAAAUGAAGAGCGACACCAGGGAGGAAUGUGCUAAAACAUAUCGAGGUCAUCCAAAUUUGUUGCCUGGUAUAUUCACAGUUUACUGUCAACACGAAAUCUGCUACGGUUUUGAAAUGAUGCAAUGCCAAGAGUCUACUAAUGUCCCAUUCACAAUAUCACAAUUAAAUUGCCAGAAGGUAUUUAUACAGGAUUUAUCACAUCAAGCUAUUGUCAUAAUAAGCGAUUUGAUCUUGUCUUAUUAAUACGUGCUGUUAUCUUCAAGAGGUACAGGGAUAAAGUUUCAUAAAGUUUUCAGGUCAUUCCGUUUUCAUAGUCAAAACGAGAUGUGUUUCCAGAUUGGUUCAGAUUGGAGGACUGUUUUCAAAUGACUCCACUUUUUGAAUGCCUCAACAUUUUCAGCAUCGUUUCGGAGUUUGGUAUCGAAUGACAAUGUUUUCGAAACUAGCAAUGGAAACGCAAAAUCCAUCUUGGGAAAACAUCUGGUAACAAUGUGAAGCCAAUUAUGUCCAAAUGUGUAAAUGCAGCAAAUAACAGGAUCUUUUCCAAACUGAAUUAUUUUGGUUUGGAAUCAACGAAGAUUUUCUCCUGUAAUCAGGCUCAUCGUUUCUUCUCGAUUGUGUCGAUUUAUUUUUCUAUGUAUAUAUAUUUUAAUUUUGUUUUAAAUUUUAAUACCGAAAGCAGUGUAAAAAUUGAUAUGUUUAAAAGCGUUUUUCAUCAUGUCUUUCAUCGCUUAUUGUUUCCUCUUACAAGUAAUUUGUUGGCCUUCUCGUUGGCCUAUUUACCAUGGCUUCUUUAAACAAUGCAACUUUUUAGUAGACAGAUUCCGCUGUAAGAAUCAUAAAGGUUUGUACAUUGUUGUUGUUGUUGAAGCAGUUGCAAAUAGCUGUGCCCCCUGUGAUCGAUAUACGGAUGAAAGAUAUGCAACAAUCUUUGUUCUACGUUGUUAUUUACCUUAUGGUCUUUUUUCUUGCGUCGAACAGUGAUACCACAUCUUUUUAUUGAUCAUUAAUUUUAAUAAAAUGAAAAUCAGAUUAAAGAUAAUUUUUCAAAUGGAAAUGAGUGUAAACAAAAAGAGCUCUCAUUUCAGUACGACAUACAAUCGAAUACAAUGAAGAAUUAUUGCGAGACAGUUCUUUAUGAUUGGAAGCUAACUCAAAUGUAUAAAGCCAGUGAUAGUUACAAUACGAAAAGAUUGUCGAAAUAGAAGGAUUUGAAUUGUCAACGAUAGGCUAGAAAAGCAAUAUAUUGAUAGAAUUUAUGUUAAGCUUUGUCCAAUUGGUAGGAGGACAGAGCUGUCCCUGCAAUCUCAAUGCGUCAAGGGCCGUUUGAAUUAAAGGUAUUUUUCUUAUAUUUAGCUUGUGCUGAAAGCUACAAUGCUUCUAAUCAACCAGCAUAUGACCGAAUCAACACCCAAAUCAACGAGCAGAGAAAUGCACUGAAGACGCUCAAGAGUCAAGUGUCGUACAUGAAUGAAGAGAAUUUUCUCAGCCACAUCAAGCUGCUUCUUUUUCACUGCAAUUACACACUUAAACAAGAAAAAGGAUUCUAAAGCUUCAAACAUUCACCCUUUUCUUACUUAAACGCUUAACUUAUUUGACACCCUAUUCAUUUGCCGUGAAUAAUUAAUUUGAUCUUAUUUUAUCAUCAUAAAUAAAAAUUGCAAACUUUUCUGGUUUUUUCAAGGGUGUGAGCCCUUACAUGAGAAACUUUUCUUAUAAAAAGCAACAUAAGAUAAAUUAUUCUACAAAUAAAUAAGACGAUAUUAAGAAAAAAGUUAAUCUUUGUCUAUUUUGAGAGAGAAAUUAACCAACCUUUUUGUUAAAAGUAUCAAUGUUUUUUGAAAAAAUAGGACUUAGCAAAAAAGACGGUGGUUAUGUAUGUGCCAUAUUACAGUUUAUCGCUUCAAAAACGCCUUUUAUUGGAAUAUGUUGAAUUUACGAUGUUGAUGGAAUUAUUUCAAUGAUCAGUGACGAUAAAAGAACUUUUUGCGUAUUUUUCCUAUCAAAGUGUCGUAACAUUGGCCCUUAGCAUGACAUAAUUUGGUCAGCUAUGCGCCAUUCCAAUUAUUAUUGGUACAAGAAACAAUUUGUAAACAAAAUUUUUAUCUCAAGACACAAAGAGAUGAUUGCAAUUAUGAAUAACGACAAGGGAACAAUUUUGUUAUUUUUUCAAUCAAAGUGUCGUAACAUUGGCGCUUAGCAUGACAAAGUUUAGUCAGCUAUGCGCCAUUCCGAUCAUUAUUGGUACAAGAAACAAUUUGUAGACAAAAUUUUGAUCUCAAGACACAAAGAAAUGAUUGCAAUUAUGAAUAACGACAAGGGAACAAUUUUGUUAUUUUUUCUAUCAAAGUGUCUUGACAUUGGCGCUUAGCAUGACAUAAUUUGGUCAGCUAUAACGUUCGGCUUAUCGAUAAAUUAGAAACACUGGGCUUCUUUUCCGUUUAUUUUGCCUACAAAUCUUAUUUUCUUGAUUAAUUACAUACUUCUCCACGGGUAUUAUCUAAAGCUGAUACUAGAUAUUCUCGGUGAAGGUUAUAGGCAGGUUUUGAGAUUUACAUUAAAAAUUGACGCAUGACAAUUUUGGUAAUGCAAAAAAGUACCCAAGCACUUAAAUAAUAGGGUACCAAAACGAAUGGUGGAACUUAGCAUGCAAAACGGUCCAGGAACACAAACACAUGACAACUUGUUUAUGCAAAAACGUACCAAAGCAUUUAAACAACAGGGUACCAAAACGAAUAAUGGAAUUAAGCAUGCGAACUGAUCCGGGUACACAAAUGUUCUGGUUCAUAUUGUUCAGAAUGUAAAGAACAAUUGAACUAUUUUUAUAAAAAGGGUGCUAAACGGUGCUGUGAUUUCCGUUGUUAAGUUUAUGCAAAAAAGUAAAACAUUAAUGGCGACUCCAAAGUUUGCGUAAUUGACAAUUGUGAAAUAUUAAAUUCUUAAAAACGUGUCAAACAUCGCACAAUGAUGAAAUCACACGAUCUGAAACACAUUGCGUUUCACAAUGUUACACUUUUGCAUAGGGUACCAAAACGUAUAUUACAUCGGCAGGGAGUCAUUUGAAAUUUCUGGGGUACACUUGCCUCUCCGUGACAUUCAUAGCCUUAUCUGUGCCAUUUUUUAGUUGCUGAGGGUUUUUGGGUGAUACUUUUUGGUCUUAUCCUCAUCUCAUCCCCACUGCUUGCUAAAGCUAUUGCUUUGGAAACUUUGAAAGCAAAACCCGACAAAACUCUACUUUUCGAGUUUAUGCCGACAAGAAUUUUCUAGGGGGUGGUGCCACACUCCCGCAUCCCUCGCUAGCGACGGCCCUGCUGCGAGGAACAUUUAAUUGGGAAUGUUACAAAACAGUCCUCCCCAUUUUUUUUGCAAUAAUAGAUUUGAUAGAAGAAAGAAGAUAGAAGAAAAAGUUUUGAAAGUUUAUGCCAACUAACCCAUUAGUAGCAGUUCUGCUGGGAACCCGUUUUUGUUCUUUUUCAUUGUGUUUUAUCUUGUGUGGUCAAGGCUUUUUUGUUUUUUUAUAUUAAUUGAAAUCUUCUUUGAACCGGUAUGUUUAUGAAUAAGGACUGAAAGAAGCAAGUAUUUUCUGAAAGGGGUGUUCUACGUUGUUUCAAAGGGCGUUGCCGUAAAAAAAGUUAUGUUCGCGCCUCCUAGCCUCGUUCCAGCCACUUCCUUGUUGGCUGGUGCCAAUGUGACCUGAUCUAGCAUAAUAUUAUGGUUUUAGCAUAACAUUGGCCAAAAAUCGUUAUUUAGCAUAAAAUCUAGCAUAAUUUUGACAUUUUUUUAAAAAUUCAUCGUUCAAUUGAACCUUUGUCUAUCGUUACCAAAUGGGAGUAAAUUGGGAGUAAAUUGGGACUUUCCACUUUCAGGAUUUUGCCAGAUGUUUGGAAUGAUUGUCAGCCAUAUAUUUUAUGGUUUGCGGCCAAAUUCAGUCAGCUAAAUGCAGUAUACAAAAAAGCUAAAUGUUUUCUAAUUGUGGGGAGUGAUAGCGUAAUCAAAGUUUGCUUUGUAGGUUACAAAAGUUUUCACUCGUUUUAUCUUAAACUGUCUCUUAUCUUUCACUUUCUUUCAGCAUUCAUCAUUUGCAAUUUUGAAAUUAUUUUAAAAAGUUUUGAAUAUUAUCUGUGCAAAAAGUUUUGUUUCCUUUGCAUUUCGUUGUUUCUUGCAACAUGCGGCCAGAAUUCAGCCAAAUUUUGCUUCCUCGGUCAAAUCAAUUUAUGACGGCCAAGGGGUUUCGAAAAACUGCCAAAAUUGAGAAAUUUGGCCUUUAAAACCAUUAAGAAUGAGUACACUGGGUUUUAGAUGAUUGGUCAAAAGGGCCAAAUAGCAACUCUGGCCACUUUUGAUAUUCUGAGCAUGUGUUAGCCUCUUUCUCGAGCAGGGUUGCCUUGAUUUAAAAAUCAGCAUAUUUUUUGCAAAUCUAACACAAUCUUAUGAAUAUUUUGGCAUCAUUACAAAAAUGAAAUCUGGUCGCACUGGCGGGUGCGUGGUGUCUGCAUUACAAACAAGAUGGGGGUAAAGAUCAUGCUUUCAAUCUGUGCAAAAAGAGAAAAAGAAGAGACAAGCAAAGUUUGUACAUCAGUGAGAGAAUAGAUUAUUUGCCAUCUGUAACAAGGAUCUCGUUCAUAGUAUCAAAACUUUUAAAGAACAAAGAAUUUGGUUGGCUGAAUGCAAUUAAGAGUUUUUCAUAAGCAAAAAAGGUUUAAGCAAGCUUCACCCAGCUUUUGUACGGGACAAAAUAAUUCAUUCAAUGAUGAAUUGAAACUUGAAAAAUAAUGACUAGGAUCACAGAGAUCUGAGAUUUUUUCUCAGAGGAAUUCUACAUGGCGAGACAAUGGCUUGGAUUCUCGCAGCAAACCCCAAUUCUGUCGAUUUAGAGAGCCUA